UACGGAGGGUGCAAACGUUGCUCGGAAUCAUUGGGCGUAAAGCGCACGUAGGUGGCCCGCUAAGUCGGGUGUGAAAGCCCUCGGCUCAACCGAGGAAGUGCAUUCGAAACUGACGGGCUUGAAUAUGGAAGAGGGUCGCGGAAUUCCCGGUGUAGAGGUGAAAUUCGUAGAUAUCGGGAGGAACACCAGUGGCGAAGGCGGCGACCUGGGCCAAUACUGACGUUCAUGUGCGAAAGCGUGGGGAGCAAACAGG
rnacentral:rRNA from 1 species